rnacentral:tRNA from 1 species
UACAUUAUGUUGUAGGGCAUGUAAAGUUUUGAUCUUUAAGGAGAGGGUUCAAGUCCCUUUUUUGUAA